AUUGAACGCUGGCGGCAGGCCUAACACAUGCAAGUCGAACGGUAACAGGAAACAUCUUGCUGUUUCGCUGACGAGUGGCGGACGGGUGAGUAAUGUCUGGGAAACUGCCUGAUGGAGGGGGAUAACUACUGGAAACGGUAGCUAAUACCGCAUAACGUCGCAAGACCAAAGAGGGGGACCCUCGGGCCUCUUGCCAUCGGAUGUGCCCAGAUGGGAUUAGCUUGUUGGUGGGGUAACGGCUCACCAAGGCGACGAUCCCUAGCUGGUCUGAGAGGAUGACCAGCCACACUGGAACUGAGACACGGUCCAGACUCCUACGGGAGGCAGCAGUGGGGAAUAUUGCACAAGGGGCGCAAGCCUGAUGCAGCCAUGCCGCGUGUAUGAAGAAGGCCUUCGGGUUGUAAAGUACUUUCAGCGGGGAGGAAGGGAGUAAAGUUAAUACCUUUGCUCAUUGACGUUACCCGCAGAAGAAGCACCGGCUAACUCCGUG
rnacentral:rRNA from 1 species